rnacentral:rRNA from 1 species
GACGAACGCUGGCGGCGUGCCUAAUACAUGCAAGUAGAACGCUGAAGAGAGGAGCUUGCUCUUCUUGGAUGAGUUGCGAACGGGUGAGUAACGCGUAGGUAACCUGCCUUGUAGCGGGGGAUAACUAUUGGAAACGAUAGCUAAUACCGCAUAACAAUGGAUGACACAUGUCAUUUAUUUGAAAGGGGCAAUUGCUCCACUACAAGAUGGACCUGCGUUGUAUUAGCUAGUAGGUGAGGUAAUGGCUCACCUAGGCGACGAUACAUAGCCGACCUGAGAGGGUGAUCGGCCACACUGGGGCUGAGACACGGCCCAGACUCCUACGGGAGGCAGCAGUAGGGAAUCUUCGGCAAUGGGGGCAACCCUGACCGAGCAACGCCGCGUGAGUGAAGAAGGUUUUCGGAUCGUAAAGCUCUGUUGUAAGUCAAGAACGGGUGUGAGAGUGGAAAGUUCACACUGUGACGGUAGCUUACCAGAAAGGGACGGCUAACUACGUG